UGCACAAGGAGCUGUGAGGGGACACAGCCAGGACACCUGACCCCAAGUGACCACAGGGAUAGCCCAGAGCAUGUGGUGCUGUGCUCUGCAUACAGAGCUGGGGGAAGGAGAAGGUAAGGGAGGAAGAUGUUUGGGAGUGAUGACAUUUUUUUUCUUAAGUCACCCUUACCUGUGAUAAAGCCCUUCUUUCCUGGGUAUGGCUGAGCACUGGCCUGCCCAUGGGAAAUAGUGAACCCCCUUGUCUUGCUUUGCCUGAGUGCUUUUCCUUUACCUAUUAAACUGUGUUUCUCUCAAACUCAAGUUUUCUCACUUUUAGCCUUUUAAUUGUCUUUCCUGUCCCCCAGAGGACUAAGUUGCUGCUGGAGGCUGAACUGCUGGCUGGGGUUAGACUGAAACAAUCCAUUACUUACAUAAAUAUAUCAACGCUAUGGUAACAGAAGGAAUCACCUCACACCACUGGGCAAAGAAGAUUUACAGUUAAAUUAAACGUCUAAUGGCCAUCUGGUCAUUCUCCAAGUGGGCUAAGGAGGUUCUGAGAAAGCCUGAUAGAUCCUGAGACUUUUGCUGCUCUUGCAAAGACUGUUCUCUUACUUGCAAUUGGCAUUAUGAGGCUACAAAUGUUUCUAGAGCUUUGUGAAGUUGUUGUCAAGAUCAAAGUUCCAUUUUUUUUUUUAGCUGGGUUGUCUUUGAGCUGGGGAAUAUAUUUUGGUAUUCAGUUCAAUUAGUAACCUGUUGAUUAUAUCAGUUUUGAUUUCAGGAUAUUAUGAAAUGAUUUUCUCAUAUAUUGCAGUUUUUAGAACCUUCAUACAAAUUUGGCCACAGUCCCUGAGAGGAUGCACAACUGUGAGAAGGUUGUUGCUGCCAGCAGUGUCUCUUGCAGAGAAGGUAGUCUCAAGUGUUCAGUCUAAGUUCAUCUGUUACUGUGAACAGAUUCAUUUUAUUUGGUAAGUUCUCAGCUUGUUUAAACAAGACAUUUCUGUGAAAAGGGAACAUGAAUAUGAUAACUUCAUCAUCUUUUUAAAGAGAUGUUCUUUAAGCCUAAGGGCUGGAAGCAAAAGUACAAGAUGUAAAUUAAAGAAAGAAUAAAGAGGAGCUUUCCUAUAUCUAUAUCA
rnacentral:lncRNA from 1 species